rnacentral:rRNA from 1 species
AGAGUUUGAUCCUGGCUCAGGACGAACGCUGGCGGCGUGCUUAACACAUGCAAGUCGAACGAUGAAGGCCGUGCUUGCACGGCUGGAUUAGUGGCGAACGGGUGAGUAACACGUGAGUAACCUGCCCUUCACUCUGGGAUAACCUCGGGAAAUCGGGGCUAAUACCGGAUAUGAGUGUCCACUGCAUGGUGGAUGCUGGAAAGUUUUUCGGUGAAGGAUGGACUCGCGGCCUAUCAGUUUGUUGGUGAGGUAAUGGCUCACCAAGACGAUGACGGGUAGCCGGCCUGAGAGGGCGACCGGCCACACUGGGACUGAGACACGGCCCAGACUCCUACGGGAGGCAGCAGUGGGGAAUAUUGCACAAUGGGCGAAAGCCUGAUGCAGCGACGCCGCGUGAGGGAUGACGGCCUUCGGGUUGUAAACCUCUUUCAGUAGGGAAGAAGCGAAAG